CAGCCGCAACAGCCCGCUGGCUCACACGGGGUGCUCUUCAUCGAGUGUCCCGCGUGGCCGGCAGAGUUUACUUUGAAAAAAUUAGAGUGCUCAAAGCAGGCUACACUGAUAGCCUGAAUGCCUAUGCAUGGAAUAAUGGAAUAGGACCUCGGUUCUAUUUUGUUGGUUUUCUGAACCCGAGGUAAUGACUAAUAGGAACAGGCGGGGGCAUUAGUAUUGCGACGCUAGAGGUGAAAUUCUUGGACCGUCGCAAGACUAACUACUGCGAAAGCAUUUGCCAAGGAUGUUUUCAUUAAUCAAGAACGAAAGUUAGAGGUUCGAAGGCGAUCAGAUACCGCCCUAGUUCUAACCAUAAACGAUGCUGACCAGCGAUCCGCCGGCGUUAUUCCCAUGACCCGGCGGGCAGCUUCCGGGAAACCAAAGUCUUUGGGUUCCGGGGGAAGUAUGGUUGCAAAGCUGAAACUUAAAGGAAUUGACGGAAGGGCACCACCAGGAGUGGAGCCUGCGGCUUAAUUUGACUCAACACGGGGAACCUCACCAGGCCCAGACACCGGAAGGAUUGACAGAUUGAGAGCUCUUUCUCGAUUCGGUGGGUGGUGGUGCAUGGCCGUUCUUAGUUGGUGGAGCGAUUUGUCUGGUUAAUUCCGAUAAC
rnacentral:rRNA from 2 species